rnacentral:rRNA from 1 species
CCUACGGGUGGCAGCAGUGAGGAAUAUUGGUCAAUGGGCGCAAGCCUGAACCAGCCAAGUCGCGUGCAGGAUGACUGCCCUAUGGGUUGUAAACCUCUUUUAUAAGGGAAGAAUGCUGACUACGUGUAGUGAGUUGCACGUACCUUAUGAAUAAGGAUCGGCUAACUCCGUGCCAGCAGCCGCGGUAAUACGGAGGGUGCGGGCGUUAUCCGGAUUUAUUGGGUUUAAAGGGUGCGUAGGGGGUAUUUUAAGUUGGUGGUAAAAUGUCGGGGCUAAACCGUGACUGGCCAUUAAAACUGGAGUACUAGAGUACAGACGAGGCAGGCGGAAUUAGUUGAGUAGCGGUGAAAUGCUUAGAUAUAACGUAGAACCCCGAUAGCGAAGGCAGUUUACUAGACUGUUACUGACGCUGAAGCACGAGAGCGUGGGUAGCGAACAGGAUUAGAUACCCGAGUAGUC